UGGGGAAUUUUGGACAAUGGGCGCAAGCCUGAUCCAGCAAUGCCGCGUGAGUGAAGAAGGCCUUCGGGUUGUAAAGCUCUUUUGUCAGGGAAGAAACGGCCGAGGCUAAUAUCCUCGGUUAAUGACGGUACCUGAAGAAUAAGCACCGGCUAACUACGUGCCAGCAGCCGCGGUAAUACGUAGGGUGCAAGCGUUAAUCGGAAUUACUGGGCGUAAAGCGUGCGCAGGCGGUUUUGUAAGUCUGUCGUGAAAUCCCCGGGCUCAACCUGGGAAUUGCGAUGGAGACUGCAAGGCUAGAAUCUGGCAGAGGGGGGUAGAAUUCCACGUGUAGCAGUGAAAUGCGUAGAGAUGUGGAGGAACACCGAUGGCGAAGGCAGCCCCCUGGGUCAAGAUUGACGCUCAUGCACGAAAGCGUGGGGAGCAAACAG
rnacentral:rRNA from 1 species